CAGAGCUAAAUUCUAUAGACAUUUUUUAAUAUAUCAUCGUACAUCUUGCAUACGUUAUUCAAAUGGGGUUUCAUAGUUAAUUUUUCAUUUUACCAUUUUACAUUCGAAAAAAGUAGAAAUAAAUUUAAAUUUAAGAGUAAAACAAAAUUUAUAACGAUCAAGACUUUUUGUGGCAGAUGGUAGUCGCAUUACUAAGUAAUCAUGAUAAAACCUACUUUCGAC
rnacentral:lncRNA from 1 species